rnacentral:rRNA from 1 species
GACGAACGCUGGCGGCGUGCCUAAUACAUGCAAGUAGAACGCUGAAGGAGGAGCUUGCUUCUCUGGAUGAGUUGCGAACGGGUGAGUAACGCGUAGGUAACCUGCCUGGUAGCGGGGGAUAACUAUUGGAAACGAUAGCUAAUACCGCAUAAUAGUAGAUGUUGCAUGACAUUUGCUUAAAAGGUGCAAUUGCAUCACUACCAGAUGGACCUGCGUUGUAUUAGCUAGUUGGUGGGGUAACGGCUCACCAAGGCGACGAUACAUAGCCGACCUGAGAGGGGGAUCGGACACACUGGGACUGAGACACGGUCCAGACUCCUACGGGAGGCAGCAGUAGGGAAGCUUCAGCAAUGGACGGAAGUCUGACCGAGCAACGCCGCGUGAGUGAAGAAGGUUUUCGGAUCGUAAAGCUCUGUUGUAAGAGAAGAACGAGUGUGAGAGUGGAAAGUUCACACUGUGACGGUAUCUUACCAGAAAGGGACGGCUAACUACGUG